AAUGUUUAACAACCAGCCCCCCCCCAAAAAAGGCUGCAAAACACACUUUUAAAUUUAAUCUGCAUUAUUCAUAUUUUCUCCAUCACUCUCUAAGUCUAGACAAUCAACAAAACAAAAAAAAAAUGAGCUCUGAUUCGCGGUUUGCUGAUUGGGCGGGCUCCAGCACUCCUGUCUCCCUUAGCUUCCCGGGUCUUACAUCCUGCCUUCACGUCCACGCCUAAGUCUCCGGGGUCGAGGAGGCCCCUCUGCUUUCUCUACCCUGCCCCGCUUCCCCAGGGGUGGCUGGGCUGGCUUACCCAUUUUCCCGAGGCUGCUUCCCAGAGCCUGGGGGAGGAUGCUGAGAGGACUCGCUCCUCCCAGUCCUAGGGCCGGGAUGCUGGGAAGGAGGAGGGGCUACACACCAUCUAAACAUUGCAAGGCUAGCCUUCCAGCGCCUGGCUCUGACUCUCACGGUGACUGCCAGGAAGGCUCCUUUCCACAUCUGUAAAAUGGGGACAAGAAGUCUCAGAGCACCAAUGAGAUAACGUACGUAAGGCUGUGUCCGAGCCUCUUUUACCAUACUCCCCAUCCCUAAAACACGAGGCCGGUACCAAGGGCUCCCUCAUCCCCUCGGAGCCCAGCCAGUUCAUCUGGGGCGCUCGCCUGACGACCCUUGGUCCCCGGGGUGGGCAGAGUGGGGGUCACCUAGACCCAGUCCCCGGCCCCAGCCCCCAGGGUGGGCUGAGUAGGGGUCGCCCCGUCCGACGGCGCCCCGAGCUCCCGCAGCUGUAAGGCGCACUUCCUCGUCGGGAGGCGCGCGGGGGCGGGGCGAAGGUGGGGAGCGGCGGGCGGCCGGCCCUGCGGUUGGACGGGCGUGGCUCCCUGGGGUCACCUGGCGCUGCCAGGUGCCGACCCUGCAGGCUGCCGCUGCGGCCCUCCUUCCUCUUCCUCCUCUCAGAGCCCCCGCCAGACGUCCCCACUUGCCCUGACGCCCGCUCCCACGCUCACGCACUCUCCCGAGGUAGAGAAAACAAGCAUCGUUUUUUCCAUGUUACAUGUUCCACCAGACGUUCUGAAA
rnacentral:lncRNA from 1 species